ensembl:misc_RNA
GUUAAAAGCUAGGGCUAGGACUUGGAGGAUGUGUAGGCAAACGGAAGGAGAGCCGGGGGAAGAAAAACCGAAAUGGAUUCAUUCUCUGUCCUGGAUGGAGGAGGAGAGGAGAAGAAGGGGACGUGCGAGCUUCCUUCAACUGCCUCUGUCCGGUGCAAAGUGAUGAAACCCCGGGGUCUCCUCAGGGCUCCGGAGUCCGCGCGGACUUUCGCUUUAAGCUGCCAAUCAAAGCGCUAACUAGACACCACCCUGCUCUGGCACGGACAU